UACGUAGGUGGCAAGCGUUGUCCGGAUUUACUGGGCGUAAAGAGCGCGCAGGCGGUCGAAUAAGUCGAAUGUGAAAGCCCCCGGCUCAACUGGGGAGGGUCAUUCGAUACUGUUCGACUUGAAGGCAGGAGAGAGAAGCAGAAUUCCCGGUGUAGUGGUGAAAUGCGCAGAUAUCGGGAAGAACACCCGUGGCGAAGGCGGUUCUCUGGGACGGUACUGACGCUGAGACGCGAAAGCGUGGGGAGCGAACAGG
rnacentral:rRNA from 1 species